GAUGAACGCUAGCUACAGGCUUAACACAUGCAAGUCGAGGGGAAACGACAUCGAAAGCUUGCUUUUGAUGGGCGUCGACCGGCGCACGGGUGAGUAACGCGUAUCCAACCUGCCCAUCACUUGGGAAUAACCUUGCGAAAGUAAGACUAAUACCCAAUGACAUCCCACGAAGACAUCUGAAUGGGAUUAAAGAUUUAUCGGUGAUGGAUGGGGAUGCGUCUGAUUAGCUUGUUGGCGGGGUAACGGCCCACCAAGGCAACGAUCAGUAGGGGUUCUGAGAGGAAGGUCCCCCACAUUGGAACUGAGACACAGUCCAAACUCCUACGGGAGGCAGCAGUGAGGAAUAUUGGUCAAUGGGCGAGAGCCUGAACCAGCCAAGUAGCGUGCAGGAGGACGGCCCUAUGGGUUGUAAACUGCUUUUAUAAGGGAAUAAAGUGGGUCUCGUGAGACUUUUUGCAUGUACCUUAUGAAUAAGGACCGGCUAAUUCCGUG
rnacentral:rRNA from 1 species